rnacentral:rRNA from 1 species
UACGUAGGGGGCUAGCGUUGUCCGGAUUUAUUGGGCGUAAAGAGCGUGUAGGCGGCCACACAGGUCUGCUGUGAAAACUCGAGGCUCAACCUCGAGCUGUCGGUGGAAACCGUGUGGCUAGAGUCCGGAAGAGGAGAGUGGAAUUCCCGGUGUAGCGGUGAAAUGCGCAGAUAUCGGGAAGAACACCCGUGGCGAAGGCGGCUCUCUGGGACGGUACUGACGCUGAGACGCGAAAGCGUGGGGAGCGAACAGG